AUUGAACGCUGGCGGCAUGCCUUACACAUGCAAGUCGAACGGCAGCAUGAUCUAGCUUGCUAGGUUGAUGGCGAGUGGCGAACGGGUGAGUAAUACAUCGGAACGUGCCCUGUAGUGGGGGAUAACUAGUCGAAAGAUUAGCUAAUACCGCAUACGACCUGAGGGUGAAAGUGGGGGACCUUCGGGCCUCACGCUAUUCGAGCGGCCGACGUCUGAUUAGCUAGUUGGUGAGGUAAAGGCUCACCAAGGCGACGAUCAGUAGCGGGUCUGAGAGGAUGAUCCGCCACACUGGGACUGAGACACGGCCCAGACUCCUACGGGAGGCAGCAGUGGGGAAUUUUGGACAAUGGGCGCAAGCCUGAUCCAGCCAUGCCGCGUGUCUGAAGAAGGUCUUCGGGUUGUAAAGGACUUUUGUCCGGGAGCAAAUGCUGGUGGCUAACAUCCACCGGAGCUGAGAGUACCGGAAGAAUAAGCACCGGCUAACUACGUGCCAGCCGCCGCAGUAA
rnacentral:rRNA from 1 species